GUGGCGGACGGGUGAGUAACGCGUAAAGAACUUGCCUUACAGACUGGGACAACAUUUGGAAACGAAUGCUAAUACCGGAUAUUAUGACUGAGUCGCAUGAUUUGGUUAUGAAAGCUAUAUGCGCUGUGAGAGAGCUUUGCGUCCCAUUAGUUAGUUGGUGAGGUAACGGCUCACCAAGACGAUGAUGGGUAGCCGGCCUGAGAGGGUGAACGGCCACAAGGGGACUGAGACACGGCCCUUACUCCUACGGGAGGCAGCAGUGGGGAAUAUUGGACAAUGGACCAAAAGUCUGAUCCAGCAAUUCUGUGUGCACGAUGAAGUUUUUCGGAAUGUAAAGUGCUUUCAGUUGGGAAGAAGUCAGUGACGGUACCAACAGAAGAAGCGACGGCUAAAUACGUGCCAGCAGCCGCGGUAAUACGUAUGUCGCAAGCGUUAUCCGGAUUUAUUGGGCGUAAAGCGCGUCUAGGCGGUUUAGUAAGUCUGAUGUGAAAAUGCGGGGCUCAACCCCGUAUUGCGUUGGAAACUGUUAAACUAGAGUACUGGAGAGGUAGGCGGAACUACAAGUGUAGAGGUGAAAUUCGUAGAUAUUUGUAGGAAUGCCGAUGGGGAAGCCAGCCUACUGGACAGAUACUGACGCUAAAGCGCGAAAGCGUGGGUAGCAAACAGGAUUAGAUACCCUGGUAGUCCACGCCGUAAACGAUGAUUACUAGGUGUUGGGGGUCGAACCUCAGCGCCCAAGCUAACGCGAUAAGUAAUCCGCCUGGGGAGUACGUACGCAAGUAUGAAACUCAAAGGAAUUGACGGGGACCCGCACAAGCGGUGGAGCAUGUGGUUUAAUUCGACGCAACGCGAGGAACCUUACCAGCGUUUGACAUCCCAAGAAGUUAACAGAGAUGUUUUCGUGCCUCUUCGGAGGAACUUGGUGACAGGUGGUGCAUGGCUGUCCUNCAGCUCGUGUCGUGAGAUGUUGGGUUAAGUCCCGCAACGAGCGCAACCCCUUUCGUAUGUUACCAUCAUUAAGUUGGGGACUCAUGCGAGACUGCCUGCGAUGAGCAGGAGGAAGGUGGGGAUGACGUCAAGUCAUCAUGCCCCUUAUACGCUGGGCUACACACGUGCUACAAUGGGUAGUACAGAGAGCUGCAAACCUGCGAGGGUAAGCUAAUCUCAUAAAACUAUUCUUAGUUCGGAUUGUACUCUGCAACUCGAGUACAUGAAGUUGGAAUCGCUAGUAAUCGCAAAUCAGCUAUGUUGCGGUGAAUACGUUCUCGGGUCUUGUACACACCGCCCGUCACACCAUCGAGAGUUGGUUGCACCUGAAGUAACCAGGCCUAACCGUAAGGACGGGAUUUCCAGGGUGU
rnacentral:rRNA from 1 species